UUCCAGAGACGCGUAUGGUUNCUUCGGGAACUCUGAGACAGGCGCUGCAUGUUCUGUCGUCAGCUCGUGUUGUGAAAUGUUGGGUUAAGUCCCCGGGAAAGGAGGGGGCAACCCUUUAUCCUUUGNUGGCCAGCGGUUCGGCCGGGAACUCAAAGGAGACUGCCAGUGAUAAACUGGAGGAAGGUGGGGAUGACGUCAAGUCAUCAUGGCCCUUACGAGUAGGGCUACACACGUGCUACAAUGGCGCAUACAAAGAGAAGCGACCUCGCGAGAGCAAGCGGACCUCAUAAAGUGCGUCGUAGUCCGGAUUGGAGUCUGCAACUCGACUCCAUGAAGUCGGAAUCGCUAGUAAUCGUAGAUCAGAAUGCUACGGUGAAUACGUUCCCGG
rnacentral:rRNA from 1 species